rnacentral:rRNA from 1 species
AGUUUGAUCCUGGCUCAGAUUGAACGCUGGCGGUAGGCCUAACACAUGCAAGUCGAACGCGAAAGUCCUUCGGGAUGAGUAGAGUGGCGGACGGGUGAGUAACGCGUAGGAAUCUAUCCUGUAGUGGGGGAUAACGUUUCGAAAGGAACGCUAAUACCGCAUACGCCCCACGGGGGGAAAGCGGGGGAUCUUCGGACCUCGUGCUAUAGGAGGAGCCUGCGUCGGAUUAGCUGGUUGGUGAGGUAAAGGCUCACCAAGGCGACGAUCCGUAGCUGGUCUGAGAGGAUGAUCAGCCACACCGGAACUGAGACACGGUCCGGACUCCUACGGGAGGCAGCAGUGGGGAAUAUUGCGCAAUGGGCGAAAGCCUGACGCAGCCAUACCGCGUGUGUGAAGAAGGCCUUCGGGUUGUAAAGCACUUUCAGUGGGGAGGAAAAGCUGGUGGCUAAUAUCCAUCGGCCGUGACGCUACCCACAGAAGAAGCACCGGCUAAUUCCGUG